rnacentral:lncRNA from 1 species
GAAUGCCCACAACUGAAAAAGGGUCCCAAGAAGUACAAGAAGAAGGCCAUGAUGGCCACUUAGAGUGCGAGUGAUGACUCAAGCUCCGAAGAGGAAAACUCGACUGAACAAGCCAACCUAUGCCUUAUGGCACAUGAAAAUGAGGUAAUUUCCGAAACUCCUAGUGACUUUACAUUUGAAGAACUGCAUGAAGCUUUUUGUGAUUUAGUUGAUGAACUAAAGAAACUAGGGAUAAAGAAUAAAGAUCUAAAAUCAAAAAAUCAAUCUU